rfam:Loxodonta africana unplaced genomic scaffold scaffold_139, whole genome shotgun sequence.
GGUUCCAUAGUGUAGUGGUUAGCACGUCUGCUUUACACGCAGAAGGUCCUGGGUUCGAUCCCCAGUGGAGCCA